GAGUCGCGGGCAGGCAGCAGGCAUCCCUGCUUGGGUCUUUUAGGAUGAGCAGGAUGAUAUUGUCUCACAUUUGCUGAGUCUGGAAGGCAGGUCUCUCCAGUGGUUUUUGGAGCAAAUGUUUUGAUGGGCCAGCGUGGACACUGCCCAAACAUACAAGCAACUUGCCCAGUCUCCAGCUGGAAGCAAAUGCUACCCAUGAUGUGCUGUGAAUCUUGCAUCUAGGAAGGAGUCCAGUAGCAAGAAAGCAAUGAGAUGUCAGAUGAAGAAGGGGGAGGAUGGGCACUAUGGUGGGCACAGGAAACUAAGGAUAACUAACAUUCAGGCCUUCACUUCAAGGAGCCAAUCUUUGCAAGAGUGAAGAGAAAUGGCCUUGAACCGUGUAGUCAUGUAACAAUUCCUGCUCUGGGACUCGGGAGAGGUGAACUUGGGUACAAUAUACCCUCAUGCCUUCUGGGUCCAGAGACCAGAUCUGAAGCAGAAACCCACUGGGUACACACUGGAAGCUGGCUGUGUGUAAAAGCUCCCAGAGAGACUCCAGUGAGGGAUCAUGCAGUUGCUGAAACAUUAUUGUUAUAAAUGAUACAGCAUGGAGCUAAAUAAAUGAGCUUUUGAAACACUGGAGCGAGCAGCAUUCCACACAUGUGUAUAUCCACACUUGCUUAUCCACUCAUCUGUGGGUGGAUAUUUAAGUUGCUUCCUCCUCUGGGCUAUUGUGAACAUGAACACUGUGAACAUCUGUGUGGGGUGAUGGCCUCAGCACCUGUUUUUAAUUCUUCAGGGGAAUGGCACCACCCACUGUUCUGGGUCUUCCUGAAUCAAUCGACAAUCAAAACAACCCCCAUGAAUGUGCCCUCA
ensembl:processed_transcript Gm15527 predicted gene 15527